UCUUGUUUCCUUGGUGGGUUCGCCCACCACUAGGACAAACAUAAACCUUUUGUAAUUGCAAUCAGCGUCAGUAACAAAUUAAUAAUUACAACUUUCAACAACGGAUCUCUUGGUUCUGGCAUCGAUGAAGAACGCAGCGAAAUGCGAUAAGUAGUGUGAAUUGCAGAAUUCAGUGAAUCAUCGAAUCUUUGAACGCACAUUGCGCCCUUUGGUAUUCCAAAGGGCAUGCCUGUUCGAGCGUCAUUUGUACCCUCAAGCUUUGCUUGGUGUUGGGCGUCUUGUCUCUAGCUUUGCUGGAGACUCGCCUUAAAGUAAUUGGCAGCCGGCCUACUGGUUUCGGAGCGCAGCACAAGUCGCACUCUCUAUCAGCAAAGGUCUAGCAUCCAUUAAGCCUUUUUUUCAACUUUUGACCUCGGAUCAGGUAGGGAUACCCGCUGAACUUAAGCAUAUCAAUAAGCGGAGGAA
rnacentral:rRNA from 1 species